CACACAAACACACUCCUCUCUCACUCCCUCACACUCUCCCACCGGUGUACCUCCUCACCACCAUCUCUACCAUCAUUUUUCCCGCAAGCACCUCCAUAUCUUUUAUAUGAGGUUCUAGCUAAUCUCAUUUGGAGCUUGAGGAAUUAGGCUUUGCGGGUUGCGAGUGAUUACCCUGUCUUUGUGAUGAUGUCUUUGUGACGUGUGAUUACCCCAUCUUUGUGACGACAAGUCAAGUUGGAGGCUCUCACUUUGCCUGACACAGGUAAAGCCUUGAGUGUGUGGGUAAGGCUAGGCAAGGCCAAGAGACCACAUGCAAGAGAGGUACUACAAGGCGCAUUAACCCCUGCUGCCCAUAAAAGGGAUAGGUAAAUCCUUGAGGGUGUAGGUGAGGCUAGGCAAGGCCAAUAGAACACAUGCCAAAAAAGGUGUGGAGGAAAAGCUCAUUUGAUUUUGGAUCUAGACUACGAGAAUUACCAAUUAAAGGUAAGUGGACUUCAGAACAUGACGUCUCUCAAGACAUGUAUAUUCAUAUAUAUUCUUGGUAAAAAUAUAUUUAUAUAUACAUAAUUGCAAAAGUGAAGUUUCAAAAACUUAUACCAUUAUCAAUGCUUUGUACACAUACCUAAAUUUUAUUAUUUCUUAAGUGUUACCUUGAAACUGUAAGUGUUAAGAAUGACUCAAAACUAUAUUUUUGAGAAAGUAUUUGUUAUAUGAUAUAUGAUUGGUAUUGACAAUAUUGUAAUAAAGUAAGAACGUUUUCAAACAGUCUACAACCUUUGCCAACACAGGGUUAAGUGUUGGCCUUCGGCCAAUGUAGUGUUAUUGUGGUGUAGUGUAGUGUUAUUGUUUGCUCUUUGGAGCCAGUGUUAUUGUUUUCUCUUUGGAGCCAGUGUUGCCUCUAUAAGGUUAGUGUUAUUGUUCCCUAUGGGAAUCACCCACCGAGUGUUUAGCAGCUUAUGUCUUUGUUUGGCUAAUAUUUAAUGUUUUCCAUAUCAAACUAUUGUUUUAUUGUGAUCAACCUUUAGAAGUGGAAAAAUUGUUUAUUACUAUAAUAUAUUGUUUCUACCUAUAUAGUAUAUUUUGGCUA